CACGUAGGGGAUAAGCGUUGUUCGGAAUUAUUGGGCGUAAAGGGCAUGUAGGCGGUUUUGUAAGCCUGGCGUGAAAUCCUGCAGCUUAACUGCGGAACUGCGCUGGGAACUGCGAGACUUGAAUCACUGAGGGGGAGAUAGAAUUCCAGGUGUAGGGGUGAAAUCUGUAGAUAUCUGGAAGAAUACCGGUGGCGAAGGCGAUCUCCUGGCAGAUGAUUGACGCUGAGGUGCGAAAGCGUGGGGAG
rnacentral:rRNA from 1 species